rnacentral:rRNA from 1 species
GGAUGAACGCUGGCGGCGUGCUUAAUACAUGCAAGUCGAACGAGGGACUUCUGUCUUCGGAUGGAGGUUUCCUAGUGGCGAACGGGUGAGUAACGCGUUGGUGACCUGCCCCGAAGUGGGGGAUAACAGUUCGAAAGGACUGCUAAUACCUCAUGUGAUCAGCUGGAUUAGAUGCCUACUGAUUAAAGGCGAAAGCCGCUUUGGGAGGGGCCUGCGUCCCAUCAGCUAGUUGGUAGGGUAAUGGCCUACCAAGGCGAUGACGGGUAGGGGACCUGAGAGGGUGGCCCCCCACACUGGCACUGAAACACGGGCCAGACACCUACGGGUGGCAGCAGUAGGGAAUAUUGGACAAUGGGCGAAAGCCUGAUCCAGCAACGCCGCGUGGAGGAUGAAAUACUUUAGUAUGUAAACUCCUGUAAGAGGGGAAAAAUAUACAGUUCUGCUGUAUUGAUUGUACCCUCAGAGUAAGCACCGGCUAACUACGUGCCAGCAGCCGCGGUAAUACGUAGGGUGCUAGAGUUGUCCGGAUUUACUGGGUGUAAAGGGUGCUCAGGUGGGUUUGUAAGUCAGAGGUGAAAUCCCAAAGCUUAACUUUGGAGCUGCCUUUGAUACUGCAAGCCUAGAGUUUGAGAGAGGGCAAUGGAAUAUCUGGUGUAGCAGUGAAAUGCGUAGAUAUCAGAUAGAACACCAAUGGCGAAGGCAGUUGCCUGGCUCAAAACUGACGCUAAAGCACGAAAGUGUGGGGAGCAAACAGGAUUAGAUACCCUGGUAGUCCACACCCUAAACGAUGAAUACUAGAUGUUGGUCUUUUUUAAGAUCAGUAUCCAAGCUAACGCAUUAAGUAUUCCACCUGGGAAGUACAAUCGCAAGGUUGAAACUCAAAGGAAUUGACGGGGGCCCGCACAAGCAGUGGAGCAUGUGGUUUAAUUCGACGCAACGCGAAGAACCUUACCUAGGCUUGAAACGCAGAUUAAUCCUGAUGAAAGUCAGGGUUCCGCAAGGAGAAUCUGUACAGGUGCUGCAUGGCUGUCGUCAGCUCGUGCCGUGAGGUGUUGGGUUAAGUCCCGCAACGAGCGCAACCCUCGUCCUUAGUUGCCAUCAGGUAAUGCUGAGCACUCUAAGGAGACUGCCUACGCAAGUAGUGAGGAAGGUGGGGAUGACGUCAAGUCCGCAUGGCCCUUACGCCUAGGGCCACACACGUGCUACAAUGGCCAUUACAAAGGGUUGCAAUACCGCGAGGUGGAGCCAAUCCCUAAAAAAUGGUCUCAGUUCGGAUUGGAGUCUGCAACUCGACUCCAUGAAGCUGGAAUUGCUAGUAAUCGCGCAUCAGCACGGCGCGGUGAAUACGUUCCCGGGCCU